CCAGCCGCGGCAGCCAUGGCCGCGCGCCUCCGCUCGCUCGCUCCCGGCCCGCCCGCCGCCCGCCGCCCGCCGCCCGCCGCCGGGAAAAACAAGAUAAACAACACCAUGAGGAAGCAAUCAGAGAAAUCUAGAAGAGGUAGAGAGAAAGACAGACACCUGCAGCACUGCUUCAUUAUUCAUGAAGAUUCCCCCUCACCAAAAGACAGUGUGCACAGACGACAGGUGCGAUGUCAACCUUUCAGCUCCAGUACUCUGACACCAAGUGACAGAUGCUACCAUGCCAACCUGAAUUCCCCAAGCAGAGGACUUCACCAGUGUAUCGUGGAACAUGGGGCUCUGGAGCCCUGCCCCACUAGGGAAAGAUAGAAACAGGCUGGGAGUAUGGAUCGACCUGCCAAUGCCCAUGUUCAGUGGAGAAGCAAUUACAGAAGCCAGACCUUCCACUUUCUGCACCCCGUAAUGAUUCUGGGUCCAUAGUCUCAGAGAGAUAAAGAAUAGGAAAGCUUCCAGUGGAGAGGAUAGGAUAUGGAACCCUGGUGGUGGGAAAUGUGUGGAAUUUUACCCCUCUUAUCCUAUGGCUUCGUUGACAUUUUCUAUUUUUAAUUUUAUAAAUAAAUUAAAUAAAAAUAAAAUACAUAAAAA